GAUGAACGCUGGCGGCGUGCUUAACACAUGCAAGUCGAACGAUGAACCCGGAGCUUGCCCUGGCGGAUUAGUGGCGAACGGGUGAGUAACACGCGAGUAACCUGCCCUGGACUCUGGGAUAUGCGUUGGAAACGACGUCUAAUACCGCAUAGGACCUUGGAACGCACGAUCUGGGGUGGAAAGUUUCUUCGGUCUGGGAUGGACUCGCGGCCUGUUAGCUUGUUGGUGAGGUAAUGGCUCACCAAGGCGUCGACGGGUAGCCGGCCUGAGAGGGUGACCGGCCACGGUGGAGAUGAGAACCGGCCGAAACAGCAACGGAAGGCAGCAGAGGGGAGUAAUGCAGAAGGGGCGAAGGCGUGAGGGAGCAGAGCGGCGUGCGGGAGGACGACCCUCGUGUUGUAGACCGCUUUUAGUAGGGAAGAAGAGCUUCGGCUUGACGGUACCUGCAGAAAAAGGACCGGCUAACUACGUG
rnacentral:rRNA from 1 species